rnacentral:lncRNA from 1 species
GCUCGGCGGUGCUACUUGAGGUCUCUUGGGAGGCUGCGAUGGUACGGCUCCGUGUGCCGGUCUCUUCCGCGCCGCAUGUUGCCGAACGUCGGCUUCUAUCAGCCUCACCCUCGGCGGCAUGCCUACAAUUUCAACAGAGGAUCAGCACCAGCCCAAUGAAAAAAAAAGGAAAAGAAAAAUAGACCUAGACGAGGAAUCGAGCUCAGACCGACAUCAUACAGAGCUUGCUCGGUGACAAGCUCCCUCUACUUCGGCA